rnacentral:lncRNA from 1 species
CCAUACCAAACUACGUUGAAAUAUUAUUGCAUUUUUCAGAACAUCAACAUUUUUUUUCAGAACAUCAACAUAGACAUAGAAACAAAAGUGAACAUAAAGAGAACACAAAUCAACACAAUAAAUUUUUAUCUUUGCUUGAAAUAGAAAGAGAUAGUGGUAAAGGAAGACAACAGACUUUAGUUUUAUUUUGCAGCUAGAAAACUAAAAAAAAUAGUGAAUUACGUGAGUUGUGAGUUAGGGUUAAAUGUUUCUUAUUUUAUAUUAAAAUGUUAGUUACUAAGGUUGAUUGAACUUCGUUCAACUUUUAUUUUUAAGAAAAAAGUCAAAACAAACGCAUAUACAGUAAGAUUAUACGGACUACGCGGGCUAUAUGCGGCCGUAUAUACACCGCUUUAUAUCAAACCGUAUAUCAUGGAACAUAUGAUGAUUACGGUACGUUGACUAACCGCAUAGCGUAUAUUGAAC